CUGGCGGCCAACGGGAGGGAAAGGCGGGAGAAAGAGCGAAGGUAACGAUGGCGCUGCUCUUCUCCGCCCUCCGCGUGGUGUUGGGCCUUUUUUUCGCCGUCAGCGGGGCGGUCAAGCUCACCGACCUGAUCGCCGGAGAUGCCCACCAGCAGAUGGUGCCAUCUACACCCUGCUGGUUUUGAAAGAGCCUUUUGCCAUGUGCGUCCCAGCCACUGUCUCCUUGGGCCUUUUGCUCCUCCUCAACAUCCGUGGAAGAGGGAAGUGUGUGAAGUCAAAGUCUGAAUGAGAUCUGGAGAGAUGGGAAGGAUUCAAAAUGAAGCUUUUGGAAGGACAGACAACUGGUGUUUCCCAUCCUGCUCCCCGACUAAUCAGAUCAUGCGGACUUUACAGUGUAUAAUCCAGAAAGGGGGUUAAAUCUUCACGGUCAUGGCCUAUUUUUUCUCCUUUCUUAACUGUCCAUUUUGUCCGUUUUCCAUCCCUCUUUAAACCUGAUUGGAGAGCUUGUCUUCUCUGCAAAACCAGUCUCUCUCUCUCUCUCUUCGGUCAAUGGCUACUUCUUGUGUUCAGGCAAGGAGAUAACAUGGAACAGAAGAAAAUACCACAUUUAGAAAAGGGCCGAGAAUGAGGGUUAUGUGAGAUUGUGGUUGGGCACUAAAGAAUAUUGUUGAGGGUAAAAGAGGCCUUGGAAUUCUGCAGAAUGAUAUAAUCAAAGGACCAAGAUAGAUCUUGUACCAGUUAUACAUUGUAAUGCUUCAUUUCUGGAUUUUAUUAACUUUGCUAUCAACCCAUCUUGGCCUGAUCUAAGAUUAGGACUUACGUUUGUUGGUUGAGGAAGUAUAGGUUAAUCAUGAUCCCUCAUCCUUUUCCCAAAAAUUAAAUUUAAUUCCAUUUACCCAAUACUUUUUUUUAACCAUUUGCAUCAAGCAAAAGGUCCUUUUUAUCAUUCCAGUUUUGUUAAUUGGUCAUGAAUUUGGGGAAAUAAAAGUAAAGGGGAUGAAUAGAUUUCUUCGAAUAAGCAUGAGAUGAUCUUGAGCCAUUGCCAUUUAUAAGAAAUAAUCAAUAGGUUCAAAUUUUAUGUCCAUAUUUGGGGGGGACUGAAGGUUGGUUGGGAGCUUUUGGCUUGUUUUUCUUAAAAAAAAAACUUUUAAA